rnacentral:tRNA from 1 species
GGGGAUUUAGCUCAGUGGUAGAGCGCUUGCCUAGCAAGCACAAGGCUCUGGGUUCGGUCCCCAGCUCCA